rnacentral:rRNA from 1 species
GGAGGGUGCAAGCGUUACCCGGAAUCAUUGGGCGUAAAGCGUCCGCAGGCGGUUUGUUAAGUUGGGUGUUAAAUUUUUUCAGCUCAACUGAAAAAAAUAUAUCCAAAACUGGCAAACUAGAGUACUUCAGAGGUACGUGGAAUUCUGUGUGUAGGGGUAAAAUCCGUAGAUACACAGAGGAACACCAAAAGCGAAGGCAGCGUACUGGGAAGUCACUGACGCUCAGGGACGAAAGCGUGGGUAGCGAACGGGAUUAGAUACCCCGGUAGUCCACGCCGUAAACGAUGGAUACUAAGUGUUGAGGGACUCGACCCCCCCUCAGUGCUGACGCUAACGCAUUAAGUACCCCGCCUGGGGAGUACGGUCGCAAGAUUA